rnacentral:sRNA from 1 species
AAUGGAUAGGGACCCACUUGGAGGACUUGCUGAUAUGUUUGGACAAAUGCCAGGUGAAUCAGUGGCUAACCUGGCUAGAAACUGCUGAAGAAGAAGAAUCAGAGGAAGAAGCUGACUAAAGAACCAGCCAAAGCCUUAAAUUGUGCAAAACAUACUGUUGCUAUGAUGUAACUGCAUUUGACCUAACCACUGCGAAAAUUCAUUCCGCUGUAAUGUUUUCACA